rnacentral:tRNA from 1 species
UCCCUGAUGGCUCAGUUGGUAAAGAAUCUGCCUGCAAUGCAGGAGACCCUGGUUCAAUUCCUGGGUUGGGAA